CGCUCCUCCCCCGGCCCCGCCUCCCUGGCCCCCGCGCCGCCCGCCCGUCCGCCCGUCUCCGCAAGGCCAUCGGUCCGUCCGCCCGCCCUCCCAGCGCUCCUCGCCCCGGCCCCGCUACUCCGGCAGCGCGCGUCGCUUCCUCCGUUCCGGCCGCCGCUAGCCCGUCCCCCGCCCCCGGUCCGGCCGCCGCCGCUACGCGAGGCCGGGGAUUGGCAGCGCGCGUAGGCCGCGCCGCCGCGGAUGGAGCCGGAAUAAAGGGGCGGCCGAGAGAGCAGCUGGUCGCCGCUCGCCCCGCGCCUGCCCUGCAGGCGGCCUGGAGCAGGAAGGCUUAGAGAACCGAGUGGUACCUGCUUGCUCAAGCAACCUGCUGCCUCCACCCAGAGCAGCCGCUCCUCUCCUCCCUCCCUUCCGGAAGAUGCUGAGGAUGACAGCGUUUAGCCUGACUCUUACAUUUCUUUGGCAGAGCAGUUAGAGGCCAGGCUGGCCUGUGAACGCUUCUCCUUCCUUCUUCCUCUGCUCAGGAGAAAACUUACAAACUUUUAAAUGUAAGAGGCAGAUGAGCUGGGAACCUGGAAGUGGGUUGCAUCUGACUCUGAAAGUUCCUCCCUCUCGCUGGCAUUACCUUAUGCUGCCACAAAGUGGUGAGUUAGAGAUUUGCCUGGGCUGGGUGGGCUUUACCUUCCAACAAUUACCCAGAAUGUUAUAGGCUUGGAGUAAGAGAAUGGAGUUAUCUCUAGAGAGGUGAUGAGAAAUGCUCUGUGGUUAGCGUGCUGCAUCCUGCAUUGCCAAGGCAAACCAGUGCAGUUUCUUACAUUUUCCUGCAGGCCUUGACACUAUGAGAUUCAGAGGAUUUAGGACUUUGUGUGUGUGUAUGUGUGUGUGUGUGUGUGUGAGAGAGAGAGAGAGAGAGAGAGUGAGUUCUGGGAGAAAACUAGAGUGAGGAAGUUCUGCUGUGUGGACAUCAAGCCUGGGUGGUUCUGUGGCCCUGUCAUCUAGCCCCCAUCACCUAUGGGUUCUGGUCUCUGCAGGGCCACCAUCCUGUCAUGUGGGGAGAGAAUGGGCUGUGGUCAGGGAUAGUUGAGGGGGUGUGGUCAGUCCCUGAUAGGUGAGGGUUUUUGAAAUGGUCCUUGGUUCCAUGAAGUUGUCCUAAAUAUCUACUGUCAGAGGCCAUUUGCCACUGGGCUGUCAGACCUGGGGGGUCUGGCCUCCUCAGGUGUAAGUAGUGGUGUCCCGGAUUGAGACUCAGGGUAGUGACAAAAGAGGAGCUGCGGGCCUCAAGGAGGAUUCUGUAUUGUAGGCAGAUAACCCCAGACUCUCACCUGUGAGUCUCAG
rnacentral:lncRNA from 1 species